CGCUAUCACUCCUACGGGGAGCAGCAGUAGGGAAUCUUCACAAUGGGCGCAAGCCUGAUGGAGCAACACCGCGUGAGUGAAGAAGGGUUUACGGCGUCGUAAAGCUCUGUUGUUAAAGUAAGAACACGUAUGAGAGUAACUGUCCAUACGUUGACGGUAUUUACCAGAAAGUUCACGGCUAACUACGUGCCAGCAGCCGCGGUAAUACGUAGGUGGCAAGCGUUAUCCGGAUUUAUUGGGCGUAAAGAGAGUGCAGGCGGUUUUCGUAAGUCUGAUGUGAAAGACCUUCGGCUUAACCGGAGAAGUGCAUCGGAAACUGGAUAACUUAGAGUGCAGAAGAGGGUAGUGGAACUCCAUGUGUAGCGGUGGAAUGCGUAGAUAUAUGGAAGGAACACCAAUGGCGAAGGCGGCUACCUGGUCUGCAACUGACGCUGAGACUCGAAAGCAUGGGUAGCGAACAGGAUUAGAUACCCUGGUAG
rnacentral:rRNA from 1 species